UACAUAUCUGAAAAGCGGCUGGACGAUCUCUGAUUGAGCUUGCAGCAUUUCGAUAGUCAAGGAGGGUGUUCGUUCGUUCGUUCGUUCGUUCGCUCGCUCGCUCGCUCGCUAGCGCCGAAAUAUCCUCCGGGUGGGACAUCUGACGCUACGAUUUUUUCGCCGGACACCGACGUCUUGACGCCACAAACAGCCAGUUCGCAGCAAGAGGACGUUGUCUGGCAGAAGCCGCCUUUGAACGUAGCACUUCAUGGCUUCGGAUUUUUUGACGAAUGUAACUGACCUCAUUGAUGUGCUCUUAAUUCUGGAGGGAAUGUUGCCAUGGUUGUGGUGUCCGUCACAGUAGUGUAACAUAGUAGCUGAUAGACAAAGUACCGAUCGCUGGCCGACAUUAGCAAUGGCGAACGAAGCAGUUAUCCAAGUAUAAGCUACUUCGUUUGAAGCGCAAAAGUAACACUAACUAGAUCAGGAACGGAGCUACAAGUGACCGGUCUCACUAUGGCGCAAGCCGCUAGCGCUUCAAUUAUUCAAGCCGGUAGAUAUUAGUGGACAGAAUAUCCAUACGAGCAUUUACCGUAGCAACCGAAGAAAGCACCGCGGAAGUGAACCAAGCGCAAGUAUAUAGUAAAGGUGAAUGACAGGGUACUUUCAGCAUAAGUUGCUAUGAGGAUACAAGUGAAACACGCUUAUGGCAUUGAUUGUGCAGUAUUCCACUAGAUCUACUCUGAUGACAACAGAUGCGGGAGAGAAGUCCUAGCUCCUUUUGCGUAGCUAACCAGCAAUCUACGUAUCUGAUUGUAAAAACUGUCCUACUGCAAUUAUUGUCCCGCGCCAUUUCGUUGGUACUACAUUGUAACCCAGCAUUACUGCGGAAACGU